rnacentral:lncRNA from 1 species
UUAAAUUUAUUGACUGUUAACCUAAUCAUUUAAAAUUAGAGGUAAUCAUUAACUUCCGUCUAAUUUUUGAUGGAAUGAUACACUUGGGCACCACGGUGACACUACAUGGUGCCACAUGGUAUUGAAAAAUCAUACCCACUUAUGAUAGACCCAUACUCACUUUCUCAAAAUUCUUAACAAUUCUGCAGCCACCAAUUUUCCCAAACCUUAACUCUUGCCGCC